GACGUAGGGGGCCAGCGUUGUUCGGAAUUACUGGGUGUAAAGGGUUCGUAGGCGGUUCGGCAAGUCGGAUGUGAAAUCUCCACGCUCAACGUGGAGGGGCCAUUCGAAACUGCCGUGACUCGAGUCCGGUAGGGGAGUGUGGAAUUCCCGGUGUAGCGGUGAAAUGCGCAGAUAUCGGGAAGAACACCCGUGGCGAAGGCGGCUCUCUGGAACGCAACUGACGCUGAGACGCGAAAGCGUGGGGAGCAAACAGG
rnacentral:rRNA from 1 species